UGAGGUUGGUCGGGACGCAGCGUGAGGCCGUAGCUAGUGCACGGUCAUAGAGGUCUCAAUCUAUGGUAUAUGUUUUAAAUUACUUCAUAUAUAAUAUUGGACAUAUUUGUGAUAGUAUAGUUCACCCCUACACCUGUUAGUAGAUGAUAUAUGUGGUUCAGUUGAUACGUUAUACUUGCGAAUUUUUGGAUGAUGUAUUUAUGAGUUUUGGAUAUUGAUGAUUUUGAAAUUUUUGUAGCUUAGGUGCGUCGAUUGAGCAGGCGUUGUGGGUGGAGAGAGGAGAUGUAUCGGUCCAUGAGCGGGCUCAGGUGCCGGGUCAGAGUUAGGAUAGGAAGCGCCCGGUUCCAAACGAUGGAGGGCAGUCGAGCAG
rnacentral:lncRNA from 1 species